AACGAACGCUGGCGGCAGGCUUAACACAUGCAAGUCGAACGCACCGCAAGGUGAGUGGCAGACGGGUGAGUAACGCGUGGGAAUCUACCUAGCUCUUCAGAAUAGCUCCGGGAAACUGGAAUUAAUACCGAGUACGCCCUACGGGGGAAAGAUUUAUCGGGGUUAGAUGAGCCCGCGUUGGAUUAGCUAGUUGGUGGGGUAAUGGCCUACCAAGGCGACGAUCCAUAGCUGGUCUGAGAGGAUGAUCAGCCACACUGGGACUGAGACACGGCCCAGACUCCUACGGGAGGCAGCAGUGGGGAAUAUUGGACAAUGGGCGAAAGCCUGAUCCAGCCAUGCCGCGUGAGUGAUGAAGGCCCUAGGGUUGUAAAGCUCUUUCAGUAGGGAAGAUAAUGACGGUACCUACAGAAGAAGCCCCGGCUAACUUCGUGCCAGCCGCCGCAGUAACAC
rnacentral:rRNA from 1 species